GAUCCGAGCUGACGAUGGAGGACGUGCGACACCGCGCGCAAGCCGGCACCUCCUCUUCCUCCAUCAGCAAUGGACUGGAACGAAGCUCCAGCAGCAACUCGCGUCACGGCUCCACGUGCUGACCUCGCAGCAGAUCUGAAAAGCCUCUGGAGGAUCGGUCGUCCGACAGCGGGCCGGCAGGCCCCGGCCGCCCGACAGCGGGGCGACCGCCUCCCCCCGUCCUAUAUAAGGGGUUGGCUGCCCCCACCCUCUCAUUUGCCUCACUAAAAAUCCAGAAAAAAAGAAAAGAGAGGGAGAGGAGUGAGGGAGCGGCGAAGCUCUGUCGGAUUUUCAAGCCGGCGACUGCAGGUAUGGCCGGGGUUACUCCUGUGUUGCUGGACCCAAUAAUAGACUCGGGUCACCGGUCUUUUCUUGCUGUGGUUCAGCACCAACAACUCAACGUGCUGCGUCCACGUCCACCUGCAGAGUUGGUUCCUGUAGACCCACGAUGGGUGCCCAGGCUGAGCGAGGCAGGUCUUCUUACUGUGGCUCGUCUUGCUGAGAGUGCCUUGAUGAAGCUAGACAGGUCUCUACUUUCAGCUCUCGUUGACAGAUGGAGAUCUGAGACACACACGUUCCACCAGUUGCCCCGCUGCCGGGCGGCUUGGGGGCCGGCCGUUUUGCUGUCGGGCGACCCUCUAGGGGCUUUUCUGUAAAAAUUUUCGCGGAAUUUUUGCAGAAAAGCCCGUGCCGCCCCGCAGCGGGGCGUCCAGGCCCCGGCCGCCCGGCAGCGGUGGGUCCGG